ACGUAGGGGGCAAGCGUUGUCCGGAUUCACUGGGUGUAAAGGGCGCGCAGGCGGGGUAAAAAGUCAGAGGUGAAAUCCUACAGCUUAACUGUAGAACUGCCUUUGAAACUGUUAAUCUUGAGUGCGGAAGAGAGAGACGGAAUUCCAGGUGUAGCGGUGAAAUGCGUUGAUAUCUGGAAGAACACCAGUGGCGAAGGCGAUUCGCUGGGCCUACUCUGACGCUCAGACGCGACAGCAUGGGGAGCGAACGG
rnacentral:rRNA from 1 species